AAAUAAAUUUUUUAUAGUUUAAUAAUUUUAUUAUAAAUUUAUUUUACAUAUAAAUUUUAGUGUUAAUUUUUAAUUAUUUUAAUAAUAAUUAAUUUAUUUUAAUAGUAAUUAAUAUUAAAAAUUUAAGAAAUUAAGAUUUAGUAAUAUUUAAAUUAAUAACAAAUUUUGUGCCAGCAGUUGCGGUUAUACAAAAAUUAAAUUGAAUUUUAUUAGUAAUUAAUAAAUAAAAAAUUAUAUUUAAUUAAAUAUUAAUUUAUUAAGUGAAAUUUUAAUUUAAUUAAAAUUAAAUUUAAAAUUAUAAUUUAAUAAAUUUUAUUUAUAAACUAGGAUUAGAUACCCUAUUAUUAAAAAUUUAAAUUAAAAUACUAAAAUAGUAUAUAAUUAUUUAUUGAAACUUAAAUAAUUUGGCGGUAUUUUAGUUCAUUUAGAGGAAUCUGUUUAAUCAUUGAUAAUCCACGAAUAAAUUUACUUAAUUUAUUAUUUUGUAUAUCGUUGUUAAAAAAAUAUUUAUAAAUAAAAAUAAUAUUUUAAUUUUAUAAAUUAAAAUUAAAUCAGAUCAAGAUACAGAUUAUAAUUAAGAAUAUAAUGGAUUACAAUAAAUUUAUUUAUAACUGAUAUUUAUUUGUAAGAAUUAAUUGAGGGUGGAUUUAAAUGUAAUUUUAUUUAAUUUAUUAAAAUGAUUAAAAAUUAAAAUAUGUACAUAUUGCCCGUCGCUUUCAUAAAUAAAUUGAAAUAAGUCGUAACAAAGUAGAGGUACUGGAAAGUGUUUCUAGAAAUAA
rnacentral:ncRNA from 1 species